rnacentral:lncRNA from 1 species
AAGGGCCUAAUAUUAACUACUGGCUUGNUAUCCCUAGCCUCCCCUAGUAAUUAAUACCGCAUUAUAAACAGAAGUUAGCGCAAUUGAUCAUCCUACCCCUAUCCCUAGGUGGUAUUGCAAAAUCAAGAGAUUACUCACCAGUUCAUGUCAUUACUGUACGUCCCCAUAUCAAAAAAGACAAACAUCAAUAUACCGUAUGAGUUAAACGAUAAAGGCUUUAAGCACAGAUGAUAACCCAACAAUAAUCAAUCAAAACAUAUGAAGACCAUAUAAAUAAUCAAGAGAUUCAAUAAGAGAGAGUAUCAAAAGAUUACAUUGUUUCCCCCAACAACAAUAGGGUUUAGUUCACCAUAGACAUGGUGAAACUAGAUGAAAAAUGGAAGAAGAAUGGAAAAGCAAACCCUAGAAAAGAUGAAAAGGAGCCUAAGUAUCCAAGAGAUCCUCUCUAGAGAGCAAAAUUAGGUCUGGUCGUUCUCCCCUGUCAAAAGAAUCACUUUGAAUUCGUAAUAGGGGUAUUUAUAGGUGAGGAGCGCAUCAAAAACAGGCCCAAGUCCAGCGAGCCACCGCCGGGCGGUUUAAGUGUGCCGCCCGGCGGUUUCCCAUAACCUGUCGCCACUGCCCGGCGGCAAUCGCCAACGCCCGGCGGUUUAAGUGUGCCGCUGGGCGGUACGUCGACUCUUCAAAUCUUCGUUUUUCUGCUCUUUUCUUGAGUCAACGACCUGUAUCUUUAACUCCAUUCUUACUUUUCUCAAAUUAGCUACAAAAUAAUGCAAAAUAAGCAUAAAAUCGCUAAAAACAACUUUUGACUCUCUCCAGACUCAUUUAUUGAGUUUUGCUUGAUUCUG